rnacentral:rRNA from 1 species
GAUGAACGCUAGCGGCAGGCUUAAUACAUGCAAGUCGAGGGGCAGCGGGAGUAGCAAUACUUGCCGGCGACCGGCGCACGGGCGCGUAACACGUAUGUAAUCUGCCCAUCACAGGAGGAUAGCCCGGAGAAAUUCGGAUUAAUACUCCAUAAUAGAAGAUAAAGCAUUUUAUUUUCUUGAAAGUUCCGACGGUGAUGGAUGAACAUGCGACUGAUUAGUUUGUUGGUGAGGUAACGGCUCACCAAGGCGACGAUCAGUAGGGGGCCUGAGAGGGUUAUCCCCCACACUGGUACUGAGACACGGACCAGACUCCUACGGGAGGCAGCAGUGAGGAAUAUUGGUCAAUGGAGGCAACUCUGAACCAGCCAUGCCGCGUGUAGGAAGAAUGCCCUAUGGGUUGUAAACUACUUUUAUUGGGGAAGAAACCCUUCUACGUGUAGAAGGCUGACGGUACCCAAGGAAUAAGGACCGGCUAACUCCGUGCCAGCAGCCGCGGUAAUGUG